rnacentral:rRNA from 1 species
UAACAUAAGUAACCUGCCCUAGACAGGGGGAGUAACUACUGGAAACGAUAGCUAAGACCGCAUAGGUACGGACACUGCAUGGUGACCGUAUUAAAAGUGCCUCAAAGCACUGGUAGAGGAUGGACUUAUGGCGCAUUAGCUGGUUGGCGGGGUAACGGCCCACCAAGGCGACGAUGCGUAGCCGACCUGAGAGGGUGACCGGCCACACUGGGACUGAGACACGGCCCAG